rnacentral:rRNA from 1 species
UACGUAGGGUGCGAGCGUUAAUCGGAAUUACUGGGCGUAAAGCGUGCGCAGGCGGUUGUGUAAGCCAGACGUGAAAUCCCCGGGCUUAACCUGGGAAUGGCGUUUGGGACUGCACGGCUGGAGUAUGGCAGAGGGGACUAGAAUUCCUGGUGUAGCAGUGAAAUGCGUAGAUAUCAGGAGGAAUACCGAUGGCGAAGGCAGGUCCCUGGGCUGAUACUGACGCUCAUGCACGAAAGCGUGGGGAGCAAACAGG